UACGUAGGGUGCAAGCGUUGUCCGGAAUUAUUGGGCGUAAAGAGCUCGUAGGCGGUUUGUCGCGUCUGCCGUGAAAAUCCGAGGCUCAACCUCGGACUUGCGGUGGGUACGGGCAGACUAGAGUGUGGUAGGGGAGACUGGAAUUCCUGGUGUAGCGGUGAAAUGCGUAGAUAUCGAGAGGAACACCUGCGGCGAAGGCGGGUUGCUGGGCUGACACUGACGCUGAGGCGCGAAAGCUAGGGGAGCGAACGGG
rnacentral:rRNA from 1 species